CCGAGUGAGGGCCUUCGGGCUCGACCUCCAACCCUUUGUGAACACAUCUUGUUGCUUCGGGGGCGACCCUGCCGUUCCGACGGCGAGCGCCCCCGGAGGCCUUCAAACACUGCAUCUUUGCGUCGGAGUUUAAGUAAAUUAAACA
rnacentral:misc_RNA from 1 species